CCUACGGGAGGCAGCAGUGGGGAAUAUUGCGCAAUGGGCGAAAGCCUGACGCAGCAACGCCGCGUGGGGGAUGAAGGCCUUCGGGUUGUAAACCUCUUUCAGCAGGGAAGAAGCGAAAGUGACGGUACCUGCAGAAGAAGCACCGGCUAACUACGUGCCAGCAGCCGCGGUAAUACGUAGGGUGCAAGCGUUGUCCGGAUUUAUUGGGCGUAAAGAGCUCGUAGGCGGUUAGUCACGUCGGAUGCGAAAUCCCGGAGCUUAACUUCGGGCCUGCAUUCGAUACGGGCUGACUCGAGUGUUGUAGGGGAGACUGGAACUCCUGGUGUAGCGGUGAAAUGCGCAGAUAUCAGGAAGAACACCGGUGGCGAAGGCGGGUCUCUGGGCAACUACUGACGCUGAGGAGCGAAAGCGUGGGGAGCAAACAGGAUUAGAUACCCUGGUAGUCCACGCCGUAAACGGUGGGCGCUAGGUGUGGGGAACAUUCCACGUUCUCUGCGCCGCAGCACGACAUAGCGCCCGCCGUCGGGAGGUACGGCCGCGACGACGUAAACUUAAACGUAAGUAGUAGACGCGNGAGACGCGACGACGACGACGACGAGGAGGAG
rnacentral:rRNA from 1 species